rnacentral:misc_RNA from 1 species
GGAUGAAGCCAACACUCAAAAACCCCAUGAGCAAACUCGCAAGAAUCCCCUUUCUUGCACCCACCCUUGCGAAAGUCAGGGCAGGCUGUUCCAGAGUAAUGAUACCUGCGCGGGUCUCGGCGGCGCGCCUUCUCUCCAGGAUGAGCGUACGGACACUCGGUCCAGUCAUGUGACCUCCCACGUGCGCAGCGUCUCACCUUGAACUCAUACAUGCGAAAAUGAUCG